UACGUAGGGGGCAAGCGUUGUCCGGAUUUAUUGGGCGUAAAGAGCGUGUAGGCGGUCAGGUAGGUCCGUUGUGAAAACUCGAGGCUCAACCUCGAGACGCCGAUGGAAACCAUCUGACUAGAGUCCGGAAGAGGAGACUGGAAUUCCUGGUGUAGCGGUGAAAUGCGCAGAUAUCAGGAGGAACACCGGUGGCGAAGGCGGCGAUCUGGGUCGAUACUGACGCUGAGGUGCGAAAGCGUGGGGAGCAAACAGG
rnacentral:rRNA from 1 species